GAUGAACGCUGGCGGCGUGCCUAAUACAUGCAAGUCGAGCGAACAGAUGAGGAGCUUGCUCCUCUGACGUUAGCGGCGGACGGGUGAGUAACACGUGGAUAACCUACCUAUAAGACUGGGAUAACUUCGGGAAACCGGAGCUAAUACCGGAUAAUAUAUUGAACCGCAUGGUUCAAUAGUGAAAGACGGUUUUGCUGUCACUUAUAGAUGGAUCCGCGCCGCAUUAGCUAGUUGGUAAGGUAACGGCUUACCAAGGCAACGAUGCGUAGCCGACCUGAGGGGGUGAUCGGCCACACUGGAACUGAGACACGGUCCAGACUCCUACGGGAGGCAGCAGUAGGGAAUCUUGCGCAAUGGGCGAAAGCCUGACGGAGCAACGCCGCGUGAGUGAUGAAGGUCUUCGGAUCGUAAAACUCUGUUAUUAGGGAAGAACAAAUGUGUAAGUAACUAUGCACGUCUUGACGGUACCUAAUCAGAAAGCCACGGCUAACUACGUG
rnacentral:rRNA from 1 species